rnacentral:rRNA from 1 species
ACUCCUACGGGAGGCAGCAGUGGGGAAUAUUGGACAAUGGGGGCAACCCUGAUCCAGCCAUGCCGCGUGUGUGAAGAAGGCCUUUUGGUUGUAAAGCACUUUAAGCAGGGAGGAGAGGCUAAUGUUAAUCCCAUUUAAGAUUAGACUGUUACCUGCAGAUAAGACACCGCGUAACUCUGUGCCAGCAGCCGCGGUAAUACAGAGGGUGCGAGCGUUAAUCGGAAUUACUGGGCGUAAAGCGAGUGUAGGUGGCUCAUUAAGUCACAUGUGAAAUCCCCGGGCUUAACCUGGGAACUGCAUGUGAUACUGGUGGUGCUAGAAUAUGUGAGAGGGAAGUAGAAUUCCAGGUGUAGCGGUGAAAUGCGUAGAGAUCUGGAGGAAUACCGAUGGCGAAGGCAGCUUCCUGGCAUAAUAUUGACACUGAGAUUCGAAAGCGUGGGUAGCAAACAGGAUUAGAUACCCUGGUAGCUA